UACAGAGGUCUCAAGCGUUGUUCGGAUUCAUUGGGCGUAAAGGGUGCGUAGGCGGCGCGGUAAGUCGGGUGUGAAAUCUUGGAGCUUAACUCCGAAACUGCAUUCGAUACUGCCGUGCUUGAGGACUGGAGAGGAGACUGGAAUUUACGGUGUAGCGGUGAAAUGCGUAGAUAUCGUAAGGAAGACCAGUGGCGAAGGCGGGGUCUCUGGACAGUUCCUGACGCUGAAGCACGAAGGCCAGGGGGAGCAAAACGGGG
rnacentral:rRNA from 1 species